GGGCUCGCUUCGGCUUCACAUGCAUUCAAAUUGGAACGAUACAGAGGAGACUAGCAUGGCCCCUGUGCAAGGAUGACAUGCAAAUUCGCAAAGUGUUCCAUAUCUUA
ensembl:snRNA U6 U6 spliceosomal RNA